rnacentral:tRNA from 1 species
GAGGAGGUAGCUCAGUGGUAGAGCGUGUGCUUGGCAUGCAUGAGGUCCUGGGUUCAAUUCCCAGCAUCCCCA